GAGGGGGGGGGGGUCUCCUGCAGGACAAGGCACCUAGAGGUGGGUCAGUGAGCGCGGGCGGUGGGAAGCAGGGCUCCAUGCUCCCUUCUCCAGGGUCCUUCCUCCCUGCUCUGAACUGGGCCGGGAAGUGGCUUUCAGGACACCCACCCAAGGCACCAGCAGGAAUGCUCCAGCUGCUGGUGACGAAAGGGGCUAGGAGGGCUCGUGGUGGCACAGCUGUAGUCACACACUCCCUCAGCAGCAACCCCUGGGGACAGUUGUGAUUGCAGUGGCAAAAGGCUCAAACUACAGUGACUGCAGGAGUGGCCAUCAGCCACCUCACGCCAAUGACAGGCUGCGGUAUUUCUGAGGAGAGGAACGGCACUGAAGGAUUACACUUGCAGAGUUUUAAAAAUGGCACAUACAGAUAAAUCUGGAGCUCCUGUGCUCUCUUACUGUAGAACAGAAUCCAGGUAUUUAUUUAUUUCUACUUUUGUAACCACUUUAAAAUUCAAUUAGCUUUGCUACUGGAGAAAAAUGAAAGACAUCUCUAGUUUCUCUAUUUAAUGAAAGGUAAAAUUGUCCUUCACGAAACGUUACCUCUAAGGAAGGUCAACUCCUGCUCAUCACAACUGCCCUAAGAGUUCUCAAGGGAAGAACCGAAGGCUUGGGUAGCUAUAAGGCAUUUUCAAUAAAAAUCCAGAGUGUGAGAAUGCAGGGUAAGCACACUGGCUGCAAAUUUCACUGAACUAAUAAGCAUUUAAAGUAACUGGGCAUACCAACAUUUUAAAUAUCAUGUUACAACUUCGGCAUUCAACAUCCCAGUUGUGUCCCUUGGAUCUGUUGUUUCAGGCUGUGGGGAAGUUCUGGAAAACAAUACUGCUUUGAUUAUUUUAGGAUAUACUUAUCCCUUCAAAAACUGUAGCUUCCUGAGGGAUACAAAGGGAGGUUUUGUUUGCCUUUCAGUGAAAGCUCAGAAAGCUGAAGCAAAGUUAUUCACCAGUGCUUUGACUGAAAAUGAUAAUAUUUAUGGGCAAAUCUCCCAAAAAAUAUCUCUAACUACAGUCACCUGGGAACUAACCAUUUUUUCUAAGUCUUCCAGUUUACCCUUUGAGCUGGAAAACAACCCCAACACAUGCCAAAGGAAGUAAAACUUGACAGUGUUAGUUUUACUUCCAGUUCUGGUUAAUUCUACAAACCUGAAACACGUUAUUCAGAAUAUGCUUUUGCCACAGCUAAGUGACAGUACUUGCGACCCACAGAUGCUUCAAGGCACUCCUACAGCUGAAGCCAAACAGUACUUUCCAGCCUGUCUCUGUCCUCACAAAGGAUGGAAGACACCGGUUUCUCCAUUUCUUUGGGGCGCAGGAAGGAAAGCAGAAGAGGAGAAACUGCCUUCGUUUAUUGUUAGACUGACUGGGUGAGUGACAAUCUCCUACCAUGAGAAUACCAACUAGUAGUCUCUUCAUCAGGAACACCUUUCUUUUUCAAAAGUUCCAUUUUAAGAAGCCUAAUUAAGCAGUUUCGGACCAUCUUUUAGACCCUGAAGCUAUGAGCCUUUAGGACUUCAUCCUUUAUUGUGUAGGUGUGACAAUCCCCCCUCUGCUAGGAAGAGUGCUUCUCUUUUUCUCUGGUAUUGAAAACAUUCGUGAGUGCAUGAAGGAGAGAAGACAGCAAAAGCAAUUCUACAUUCACACACAGAGAAAAGCUCACAAGAAGCAGCAUCAUUCAAGGAAGAUCCGGGCUUGGAGCCAACAGAUCAAUUCCCACCUACAUUCCAUUCUAAUCUGGCAGUUCUGCCUCCAAAUCAUAGAGGAAUAAAGAUGUAAUAAACUACAUGUAAGUGUCUGGGAGGCAUCAGUCAGGCUUGAGGAUGUACAGAAAAUAAGCAGCUUUGCUUCAGUUUGGGCAUGUUCUUUGGACAGGCUGAUGCACACCUUGAUGACGUUAAUGAACAGGCAGGACAGUAACCGAACAUCACCGCCCGUGCUACCGCUCAGUGGUAUGAGAGCAUCCCUCACUUUGAGUAUGCAGAUACAAGCGCAAUCGCUGCUCGGAUGGCAGAGCAUCCAAAGCAACAAGUGUUACUCUGCUGUCUCCUAUGUUAUUGUUUUGCUGUAGUAAAGCAGCAGGAAAUGCCAUGGCAACGCUGGAUGCAAUUCCUGGGGGAAGUUAAUUGCGACUUAUUUUACAAGUGAAGUGCUGUGGAGUAGCUUUGGCAAACUGCUUAGAGCGUGCCUAUAUAAAACCUGCAACACUCUCUGCUGUACCUUUAUUAUUUUUUAGUUCUGCUGAGCUCGAUAACCACUUCAGCUGUCUCUCACUUGAUGUCAGCCUGCCCCAAACAUUUGUUUGGUUUGUCAUGGACAGCUGAACAGUUUGCCAAGAUUAUAAAGAAGUAUAAUACUUUAAACAAGCUUAGCGAAGGCCAAAGACAUGCUGGAAACCCCAUCAGAAUUUAUUAGAGCAUCUAUGGGUUAUUUCAAAGUAACUACAUAGCAGGAGCAAUAAAAUCCACAAACUCAGUGACAAAUAUGUUCCUCUGUAGUAUUUUAGGAAUGACUCCAAACAGUAAGAUGAACUGGCAAGAACAGCAAGCAGCAUGAGGCUUUUAGCCAGACAACUUUCGUUGCACGAUUGCAGCAACUCCAGUUCCAGUGGUAUCAACAGAAUGGGAAGAAAAGAGAUUGAAGAAUUAAAUGGCAAAAAAAGACAACAUAAAAAUAGGCUAGUAGAGGACAACAAGGACUUCAUACAGGAACAACUAAACAAUCCAGAAAGUGGCACAGCAGGAACAGAACAGGAUUUAAGAGCAUCAAAAAGUUCUCUAUUGGAAAUAUCUGACAAAACUACAGCUGAUGACAGGAUCUAUAGGAGGCUGCAGCAAGGAAGGUAAUUUCGGUGAGCAAACUAAAUGCUGAUAGCCACCAUACAAACCCUGGUAAGACCCCAUCUUGAAAAGCAUGCAUGUUUCUGUUCAAAGAAUAUAUAUUCUCUCCUGCUAUAGGAGAAAUGAACUGAUUUGAUGCAACAACAGGCAGGGCAAGAGGCUGUAACACAGUCUGUCCUAAAGAAGGCAAGAGCCUCCUUAAACAAAUUUACCAGAAUAAAGGCAGAGGAAAUAUUAAGUAGUUGUGAAUGCCUUAAGGGGUUAAGUACAAUGGGAAGGGAAAUAAAUAGAAAACAGUAUCAGCACAAGACCAGAUUAAUAUAAUCCAGCCAAGGAGAAAUUCAGGCAGCAACUCAGAAGGUUUGUAACCCUUGAAGCAUGGGAGGAGUGGGACAGCCUUACCGUAAGGACAGCAGGAGCCAACAACCAAGACAAACCCUAUUAGGUUGCAAGACGAAUCUUGGAAGGGGUUAGAAGACCCACCUAGCUGCCCCAGGACAGGACUGAAUUUCAUAUCCCAGGUGACAUUUUCAGUCUGUACUGUUACUUCACUUUCUCCUGUGGUCUUGCAAUGAAGCGUGCAAGGCUAAGAGACACCCACCACAUCCCCAAUCCCUUAUACCUUUCAUCUGCCGUGUUGGGUAUGACUUGUCAUAGAGAAGACUGAUACAGGAGAAUGAAAAAGGAGUCACUCCUAUUUUAUUUUAAGCCUCAUACAAAGACUGAUCACAAAAGAGAAUACCUAAUGGGAUUCAUUGUCUGAAUGUUCACAGGCCUGAAUGUUGUUAGCAGCAUGGAAGCACAUUCAAAAGAAAGAAAAGGAAAAAAAAAAAGUGGCAGAACUAGAAAAGCUGGCCCUGGAUGUGUGUACCGACUGAAAUAAAGGACAUCACCUCGAAUGGAGCAGUCUUCAAAGCAGUCACUUUCAGUCAACAAGCAACAACGUAGGGCCAGCUACAGGGGAAAACCUUUGUAGGAACAGGUGGAGUGAAAAAAUAAAUCUACAGAACAAGAUGACAUGGGAAGGACUGGAAAUGGGGCAGGAUUGUUUGAACUAGACUGUGUUACCCAGGUUCCUGCCUAUAGCAAAGGGCUAGGAGCACCCUGAAGAACUUGCUUCUACCAAUGUAUUACUGGGGGGCUGCUGCACACGAUCUGCCACUGUGACAUAACUGUUGACCCCAGCCUGCAUGCAGGUGUGCAGUUUAGGUGAAGCUUUACCAUAUGCCGCUGCUGUCAACGAAAUGAGCUGUGUGCAGGCAGCUGGCUGCUCCUUGCAGAGCCCAGCCCUUCACCUCCAAGACACCUUUACGUUUCACAGCUUCCUCAGAUGACACAUGGAUACUGGCACAUUCCAUAAAUAAGGAACAACGUCCAACUCCAGACUCUCAGCAAAACCACCAGCUGCCUCAGCAUCCUUAGCCAGGCCUGUACAAUCGCCCACCUUCAGUCAUUCAAAAAAAAAAAAAAUCAGGUUUAAAUAAAAUCAUGAAUGUGAUGACUUUCCAAGCCAAUCAGACUGCAUUUCAGACUUCUUUUUGAAGUUAUUAAGGAGAAGUGUUUUUCCCAAAUGAAAACCAGCGCUCUCACAUUAUUUUACCACUGCCAAAUGCUGGAGGUUCAUCACAGACUCCAGCUGGAGCCGACAACACUGCAAAACAGUACCAGCAAUCUAAGACGGUACAACAGAUAGAGCUCAUUUUGUGCUACAGUAAAUAAACUUCAACAAAUACUAGGAA